UGUGGAUGGCUGGACAUUGAAGAGCGUAAACCCGGUCAGGUUCGGAAGAAAGCAGCCGUAGCGAACACCAGAUGGGUCAGCUGUCCUUUUAU
rnacentral:SRP_RNA from 1 species